rnacentral:rRNA from 1 species
GGGGGGGGGGGGGGGGGGGGGGGGGGGGGGGGGGGCGGGGGGGUGAGGGGGGCGUGCGCCGGGAUUCAGCGGCGGACGGGGGAGUAAUGCCUAGGAAUCUGCCUGGUAGUGGGGGAUAACGUCCGGAAACGGGCGCUAAUACCGCAUACGUCCUGAGGGAGAAAGUGGGGGAUCUUCGGACCUCACGCUAUCAGAUGAGCCUAGGUCGGAUUAGCUAGUUGGUGGGGUAAAGGCCUACCAAGGCGACGAUCCGUAACUGGUCUGAGAGGAUGAUCAGUCACACUGGAACUGAGACACGGUCCAGACUCCUACGGGAGGCAGCAGUGGGGAAUAUUGGACAAUGGGCGAAAGCCUGAUCCAGCCAUGCCGCGUGUGUGAAGAAGGUCUUCGGAUUGUAAAGCACUUUAAGUUGGGAGGAAGGGCAGUAAGUUAAUACCUUGCUGUUUUGACGUUACCAACAGAAUAAGCACCGGCUAACUUCGUG